CGCGACGGCCGCCCUCCCUGUCCUCCAGGAGCUCACGUCAGCCUGCCUGUGAGCGCCUCGACGACAGAGCCGGCGUCCGCCACAGUGCUG
ensembl:miRNA